AAUCAACCCAUCGACGUUGAUCUUCAUGGUCCCUGUCGCUGGAGCUACCCAAAUCUGAGGUAUCUCGGUUUCGUCUGACUUUCUUGCUUGAGGGUGUUGAAAGGCCCAUUUUCCAUAGCUUUUCUGCUGAAAUCGGGCAAGAUCUACUAUUUUGCAGGCAUCCGGCUGACUUCCCCGAUAUAUAUAGUUAUUUCGCCCCUUCCAAAUUUGCCAGAGGAAGUUUGAUAUACCUUCCAAGGAAGAUCCGGGUCUGUGAAAUCUGCCUUUCCUCUAGAGCUCUGCUUGAUCAAUCUCCUACUUUGAAAGAAAAUAAAAGUGGAAAAGAAAAGAACCCAAUCAUUUAGAAGAUCCGAAUUCCGGGGCCUCUUCCUCAUUGACCCCCCUGCAUGGAGGACAUUACAAAGGCGGAGACAAACAGCAGAAAGGGAAUUACUUCGAAGUGCUAUUGAGCACUCCUCAGGUAAUCAAUGACUCCUUACUCUUCUCUUCCCCUCUGUUUCCAGCUUUGGUUGCUCCAUUUUCUUCUGAUGACUUGUGUGAGAGUUUUUUUUUUUUUCAAAGUAGCUCGAAUUGAGUUCUGAUGAGUUUUGAUCUGGGAUUAUAUAUAUGUCUGUUUUCUGUUUCCUGCUUUCUUUUGAGUCUCUGCUUCAUCAAUCUCUUUUACUCUUUGAAUUAGUAUAAUCCUCUGGAGGUGGAAAAAGAAAACCCACUCAUUUAGAAGAUUCAAUUUACGGCGCGUCUUCCUUAUCCGCCUCUGCACAUAGUGGUGACUAUGGAGGCAGAACCAAAAAGUCGAAAGCAAAAGAUUACGAAGUAUAUAUGAACUUUAGAGGGCCAAACACCCGUAAGGGUUUCGCCGAUUAUCUCUAUACUAGCCUUGUCGAUGCAGGAGUUCACAUGUUUAGAGACGAAGAGAUCUGUGUUGGUGCAAAGAUUGGUUUCGAUUUUCCUUCCGUUAUUGCACAGACUAAGAUCUCCAUUGUGAUUAUCUCUGAGAACUUGGCUUCCAGGGCAUGGUGCCUUAAGGAGCUAGUUCAUAUAUUAGAGUGCAGCAGAAGCAGAGGGCAACUAGUGUUGCCUAUAUAUUACAAGGUGAAACCCUCUCAAUUGAAAUAUCUUACCGGGAGAUUUAGAGGUUGUAUUGAUGCACAUAAAAGGAAAAUGGGCGAAAUUGUUGUGAAUUACUGGAUAGAAGCCCUCCGAGAAGUCACUUCGGUGAAAGGAUGGAAAUCGGAAGAAUUUGGGUACAUUAUUAUUUUAUAUUUUAU